rnacentral:rRNA from 1 species
GACGAACCUUGCAAACGUUAUUCGGAAUCACUGGGCUUAAAGGGUGCGUAGGCUGUGCAGAAAGUUGGGUGUGAAAUACCUCGGCUUAACCGAGGAAUUGCGCCCAAAACUACUGUGCUCGAGGAAGAUAGAGGUGAGCGGAACUUAGGGUGGAGCGGUGAAAUGCGUUGAUAUCCUAAGGAACACCGGUGGCGAAAGCGGCUCACUGGAUCUUAUCUGACGCUGAGGAGCGAUAGCGUGGGUAGCAAACAGG